rnacentral:tRNA from 1 species
GAGGGUAUAGCUCAGUAGUAGAGAACAUACCUAGCAUGCCUGAGGUCCUGGGUUCAAUUCCUAGUACCAACA